ACUAUACGGUGCCCCGACAAACAACAAAGAAUACAUGUGUGCAUUAUUUCAACAGGAACACGCCUAUCAGGCCCAUGCGAAACAAAAAGACGUUUUGUCGUGCUGCAAAAUUAAACAAAAGUACCCAUGCACUACCGGAUUCAGGACCUUAGACACUCGGCAAAGUCUUUGACGCGUGUAACACCCGGCAAAGGACACUCGGUAGUGAAUAUUUCGGCAAAGACGUCUUUGCCGAGUGCCUUUUAUCGAGCACUCGGCAAAGGCUUUGCUGAGUGUCAGGGUAGGCACUCGGCAAAGAAAAGUAGCCAUGACGGCGUUUGUGGCCAUGACGGCUCUUUGCCGAGCGCCCUCUGGCUGGCGCUCGGCAAAGACUGGCCCUUUGCCGAGGCCUGUGACGUGGCCCUCGGCAAAGGGCCUAGUCUUUGCCGAGCGCCCUCAGUUUGGCGCUCGGCAAAGGCUGGCUCUUUGCCGAGUGCCUGUGACGUGGCACUCGGCAAAGGGCAGUCUUUGCCGAGCGCCAAACGGAGGGCGUUUGGCAAAGUUUAGGUCACUUUGCCGAGUGCCUGUUACGUGGCACUCGGCAAAGUUCAGGUCACUUUGCCGAGUGCUUUUUUUAUACACUCGGCAAAGACUUUUUUUAAAAGAUUUUAAUUUGUUUUUUCCCCACCAUUUUACACAGGCACAUAUCCACACAGGCAUAUUAUUUAAAAUUUCACAUACACAACCAAAUUCACGCAAGACUUAUGGUCACAACCAAAUUUAACAAAGUCUCGUCAUCACACAAAUAAUAUCAUAUACACAAGUUCACCACAUAAGUGUUAACAACGAUAAAGGUUCAUUUGAAGUUCACCACACAUGUUCACCACACAAGCUCACCACACAAGCUCCAAUGUCACAAAUGAAGAUUUCGAGAUGGCUGAUUUGGAGUUGCCUGAUUUGGAGAUGGCGUAGCAUGCGGAUCAUUUGACGCCGCCGAUUGUCUCUACACAGAGAAGAAUAGAUUGCAUGUGAGACAAGAUAAAUGACGAUCAUACAUAAAUAUAGCCAGACUAUUAGAAACCUAACCAAUAAAGCUAACAAAGAAGAUGGAUUACUUUUAACCAAUAAAACUGAAAUGCAAAUGACAGCAGAUAAGCACACACAUACAUGGGCACACUUAUAGAAACAUACACGCGUGAGAACACUACAGGCACACACAUAGUGAGAACAAAAUAAAACAAACAUCACUGGAGUAGUAUCUCAAAUAGUAGUUCUGAACUAAAACCAUGCAUUUGAUGUUGUACCAGCAAAUACUUGACAUGGCAUACACUGAGAUACUGAUGCACUGCUACUUAAGCAUUCUAAAUGAAACAUGAAACAAAAAUUCAACAAGGCAAUUGCCCAAAACAAAGGUCUCUAGUUGCAGGUUCCAACAAUACUAGGAGAGCUAAGAGGUCUGCCACUGCCAAUACAGGUGGUCAUAAAUCCAAGGAAAACUCUAGAAUUCAUAGAUUCUCCUAACGUGAACUAUUAAAACAAAAGGAAAUACUGAAGUAUGCACCAUUGCCAAAUUGCUGUUACUGAAUAUGAAUAAAUAGAAGAACGAAGGGAAACAAGAGAGAAGGAAUAAUUUCCUCUUCCACUUAUAUUUUACCAUUGGAGCAUCUAGACUUAACCUAUAGUUACAUAUAUACCCUAGACUUGACAAAAGCUGGCGAUAUAUACAUGACUGUGUAGUAGAUCGACUCGUAGGUCGUGCAAGCUAGAGCUGAGCCGACCAUCUGCAGAAGCUGCAUGCGUAAGCUAGAGAGCUAGCUAGCAGCAGCAGCAGCGAGGUGACACGACGGUGGAGUACGUACAAUUUAGCAGAAUAUAUGUGUGGGGAUCUACUACGUUCCGAAUGAAGUGGGAAAGAUGCUACACUUACAGGAGUAGAGUACGGAUCAGGUGGUGGAGGUUACGCGAACAGAGAAGCUGGCGGAUGUACACCCGUUGCAGCGCUAAGACUCUGCAUGUAAAGCAAAUGCCGUGAAGAGAUUGCAAGGCUGGCCACCAUGUGACGAUGACUGCGAGAAAAGCAACAAGAUGAUUAGAAAGCAUGCAUAAUUGAGUGUUAGAUGAAAUAAAUGUAUUCGUGUACCCAUGCUUCAGCGUAUCCGCUGAGGUUGCGGCAGCCUUGAUGGUGUGCUACACCUGGCAUCAUCAAACGUCGCUCCCGGCAAGCAACGUGAUUCUCCUCCCACUCCUCGGAGCACCACUUCUGCACUAUGUGUCGCCAGCAAUCGGGAUACGAGAUGCACCAAUUAGGAGUCACCUACAAGACACCAAGUACAUGCAUGACGUAUUAGAAGAUGAAAUUAAGCCAUCCUAAUGUAGAAAAAGAAUCAAGCCACAGUGUUUUGUUCUUUACCUGUAUGUACUGCUCCGGAGUCAAAUAAAUUGUUCUUGCUUCUUCUUUGGUGACCCUCUGUCCAAGGACGGUGGCGUGGUAAUUUCUAACGGCUUGGAUACGCGCCUCGUAGUGCAUCUCUCAGACCAGUUUCUUGCAGCAGUUGGUGAUCACCACAUCUGCCUCGCCCUCUUUACCAGCCUCGCAUCUGAAGAAAUCCUACAUAUACAAACACAAUGGAUCUCAUUCAUUUAUGGUAUAAAAUUGUGCAAUUAAUAUGCGAUUUAUCGAGCACUUACCCACAGCUCCCCCUUCACCCGCUCCGCCUUGUUGCUGAAUACCCUGCCCUCCCGAUCUUCAGCAUCGAGGGCCGCGGCGUAGUGCUCAAACGUAUAGGCCAGCUCCCACACUCCGCCGUACUCAACGAUGCCAGGAAAGUGUUGCCUGCAUAGAAUACCGAUGAUGCCAUUGACGGUGCGCUUGUGAGAAGCUCCAGGCUGCACAAUCUUCCAACCCCUGCACAAGUGAUUAAGAAAAAUCAUUACUUUCUAUUCCAGAUUUGAACAUAUAACAUGUAGAAAUGGUGAAAAUAUUUAAAGUUACCUGUUCUUAUCGGGAGUAAUCAGCGGGCGCCUGUCACGAGGUAUCGGUCGGUGAGGGAGACUCGAGGGACCUCGCAAGUAGACUCUCGAUGCACUAGAGGCUGCGGAACUAGAGCCCGUGGAACCAGAGGCGGUGUGCUGCAAAUCCUCAUCCUCCUCCUACGACUCCUCAUCCCUCUCCUGCACCUCCUCGUCCCUCUCCUGCACCUCAUCCUACGUAGGCAACUGUGCCUCCUCCUCCGUGUUGUCCUACGAGGGCCCCUGUGAGCUCCCCCUCCCCCUCCCCCUCCCCUCCUCCCCCUCCCCCUCCGUGACGACCCCUCUGCUACAUCGGACGGUGCAGGGGCACUACUCGCCCUGGAGUAAAGGGACCGUACGUUCCUCAAGUAACCACCGCCCACCAUCUUUGUUCAAUCACCUGAAAUUAAGAAGAGUAAAUCAAUAAGUACAGAUAAACAUACCAUACUUAGAAAGAGAUGCAAAAUAAAUAAAAUAUAAUUAUGUAAUAAUAUAGUAUUACAUUGAUUAAAAGUAAUCUUCAUCAUCAGGAUUAGCUGGAUCAUAAGUCUCAUCAUCACUAUCAACCAUGUCAUAGUCCGCAUUAUCCGAAGCAUAACUAUCGUCAUUGACAUUGCCUAAAUGUAAUGCUUCUAGCAUUUGUAAGUCUUUUGCAUUUUGCACCUCAUCCUCCUCCUCCUCCUCAUCAAUAACCAUUUCAACUUCCAUUCCGAUCGCUUCGGUUAAGUCUAUCUCAAAUCGCCCUUCUAGCCCCUCUUCUUGAAAGAACUCUUCAUCAUAUGUGUUUGGGUCUAAGUUGUAAUCGUCAUUGAUUGGGACAGGUACUUUGCCAUGCGGUGAUACCUUGUGCACAACAUACCAACCCUUAAGAUGCUCCUUGGUUUGGCACGCAUAUGGGAGAUAAUAAACUUGUAUGACUUGUUGGGCCACAAUAUAGACAUCGUCUCCUGGUAAGACGGAAUCCUGUCGGACCUCCACUAGCCCAAGAUUAGAAUAUGUCCGUCUCGUUACCUCUGGAUCAAACCAAUGGCAUUUGAAUAUGACGGGAUUGAGAGGUUUGGAACCAUGAAAACUGAGUUCGUAUAUUUCUUCAAUUCUUUCAUAAUACUCGACAUUAUCAAGGCCGAGAGUAAAAACUCCAGAAUUUGUGGUCUUUCGAUUGGGUCAACUUGCCUCAUGGCUUCUCAUCCAAAAACGAUAUCCAUUAACGUCAUAACUAGAAUAUGACCUGACCCUAUUGUCAAAGCCAUCUGCAACCUGUCUCAACUCGGCACUCAUCCUAUGACCCUGCAAGUUCAAGCACGAUAGAUCGUUAUAUUAUUUGCACGUAACAACAACUACGAUUGACAAACUAAGUACGAGCUACAUUGGACAGUACCUGCUGUUUGAACCAAGCAAUGAAAGUGGGCGAUCCAUUCCCCGCGCCCUGUCUAAGAAGGGUAUCACAUUCCUGCUCAGUAGGAUCCCUUGAUUGACGCCAGAACUCACGAAGAAAUCGCUUCAUGUACGGCACCACCUCUUCAAGGUUGGUCAACACAUAUAGCAUGAUCUGACGCCAUUCUUGAGGGCUCAAUGUCUUAUUGCUCGAACCACUUGCACUUCCGAGUUGCCCUUGCAACAGGCUGAGGUUCGAUUCAUUUUCGCUAGCAUUGUAACGAGGGGGAGGAUUUUGCACGUUAGGGAGGUUGUCACCUACAGGAUAGCAAGUACAUGCAUGACAUAUUAGAAGAUGUAAUUAAGCCAUCCUAAUGUACAAAACGACUAAAGUCACGAUGUUCUGUUCUUACCAUAGUAUGUUGUUGUGAAGUUGGACACCUCUUCAUGAAUGUAUGCCUCUGCAAUGGAAGCCUCAAUUUUGCUUUUA